AGUGGACACAUUACUUCUAACCAUUGAUCCUGUGGCUAUUUCAUAAACAUUUCUUAUCUGUGGUUACUGACGAGCACUCCAGAGAGAGUUCAAGACAGGGUCUGGCUAAGCUGCCCAGGUUGGCCUGAACUUGCCGUCCUCCUGCCUCGCUUCCUGAGUAGCCAGGAUUCCAGGUGUGUCCCACCACGCUGGAACGGCAGGGGAACAACAGGUCUCGG